GUAUGAGAUAGCUCAGUUGGUAGAGUAUUAGACUCUCAAUCUGAGGGUCCAGGGUUCAAGCCCUUGCUUGUGCG